GCCUACGACCAUCUCACCCUGAAUGCGCCCGAUCUCGUCUGAUCUCGGAACCUAAGCAUGGUCGAGCCUGGUUAGUGCUUGGAUGGGAGACUGCCUGGGAAUACCAGGUGUUGUAGGCU
ensembl:rRNA 5S_rRNA 5S ribosomal RNA